CUUCCUAGUUAUUUUCCUCCACGGUGAAUCAAUGUUUUUUUCCUGUACAGAUACUUCAACACUCUCCCAGCCCACUUUCUUUCUUCCGCUCGCAUUGCCUUGUGACGCCACCUCGUGGUAGUCGUAUGAGACGAAGUGGCAGCCAUCUAGCUGCCGCGCCCACAGACAGGCGUACUCAUUGAAAGCCAACAUGCCGAGUUGUGAAAUUCCAGCGCGCUCAUCAGCCGCGUUAGUGGUUUCCAUUUGGUAUCAACGAAAAAAUUAAAUUGUAGGGUUUCACGCGCCAAAACCACCAUCAGAUUAUGAGCCACGCCAUAGUGGGGAAUUCCGGGUUAAUUCUGACCACCUGCAGUUCGUUAACGUACAUCUCAACCUAAGUAGACGGGCGCUUUUGCAAUUCGCCCCCACAGAAAUGAGGCCGCCGUGGCCGGGAUUUAAUCCUGCGACCUCGUGCUUAGCAGCGCAAAACCGAAGCCACUAAGCAACCGCGACAGGUAGGUAUCCAAAAAGUCUUUGCAAGCAAGGUUUUACCUCUGCAUUAGCAUUGCAAUCAGACUAAACGUUUUCCCUACGGAGAAGCGAGUCUGACUACUAAGAAGCUGAGGAACAAAAUUGCUACUUGUGCGGUGUACUGAAUGGCUUCCAUCAUUCCAAGUACAGACCUGAACAUCGCCCUUGAGGGCUCCGUGGUCGCUGCGCAUGCGUUAGCUGAGAGAAGGUGAGAAAGGAGAACAAUUUUGCUUUGCUGGAUGUGACGUCAUAUUGUUGUUCUUUUUUUUGUUUUGUUUUUUUUUUCUUAAAUAACUACUCUCGAAGUCCGACGAAAUGGCUCGCGUCUAGUUCGAGCGCGCACCGUGUGAUUGAUGUUGUGGUUCUCCUUUUGUUUUUUUGCGCAUGUUUGUAAGGUUAACGUUGCGGACAUUGCGGUGGGCCAGGGCUUGAUGACAUUCGUUGCCCAGCUGUCAGUGCUACCGCCACGCACUUGGAGCUAAGCUUCUGCUUACUUCCUUGGCCUGCACCUUAUAUUUUGGUUGUGUUUAUCAAGAUCUGACCUGCCGCUGCCUCGUUGAAGACAAAUGGACACAAGUACUGGUUGCUGUCGGUUUGCUCAAUGUGAACCUGAGCGAGUGCCCCUAUAUGCACGAACCUUGGAUUCGAUGUAGAAGGCAACGGACCAGUCGAAGGCUCGUCACCCGUGUCGCCCGACGCU